GACAGAGGUGCCAAGCGUUAGGCGGAAUCACUGGGCUUAAAGCGUGUGUAGGCGGGCGAUCAAGUACCUUGUGAAAUCCCACGGCUCAACCGUGGAACUGCUGGGUAUACUGGUUGUCUUGAGCCAGCUAGGGGCGAGCGGAACAGACGGUGGAGCGGUGAAAUGCGUAGAUAUCGAGAGGAACACCAGUGGCGAAGGCGAGUCCCUGGACAACACCUGACACUGAGGCACGAAAGCUAGGGGAGCAAACAGG
rnacentral:rRNA from 1 species